AACGSGAAGAACCUUACCAGGCCUUGACAUGCAGARAACUUUCCAGAGAUGGAUUGGUGCCUUCGGGARCUCUGACACAGGUGCUGCAUGGCUGUCGUCAGCUCGUGUCGUGAGAUGUUGGGUUAAGUCCCGUAACGAGCGCAACCCUUGUCCUUAGUUACCAGCACGUUAUGGUGGGCACUCUAAGGAGACUGCCGGUGACAAACCGGAGGAAGGUGGGGAUGACGUCAAGUCAUCAKGGSCCUUACGGCCKGGGCUACACACGUGCUACAAKKKCCGKUUCAGAGGGUYSCCAAGCCGCGAGGUGGAGCUAAUCUCMCMACCCCCUCUUAGUCCGGAUCGCAGUCUGCAACUCGACUGCGUGAAGUCGGAAUCSCUAGUAAUCGCGAAUCCAGAA
rnacentral:rRNA from 1 species